AAUUUAGGGCUAUUUUAGGAAUUCCAAUAAAAAUGACACGUUGUUUCCUUCAAUACCUCCACCGCUUCAUCUUUGCUUUAUCCUGCAACACAUUAGGGUUCAGUCUCUCAUGAAAUCCAUCUGAAACAAUACCUCAAUAUCUCCGACAAGUGACUGAACUACCAGAUGUUCACGACAGCCACUAACCCGCGACUCUAGCGACGGUGGCGACUGAUGGUGGUCUAACCGAAGAUGACCUAGGGCUCCGCCGCCGGUUUGGUCAAUCGGACGCGAUGCGUUGGCGGUGAUACAAUCUUCAAGUGUUAUUGAGGCGAACAAGGAAAAAAGGUCAUGUAGAAAGCAUUCUAACACAAGUUCACCUAUGAAUAAGGGGGCAUUAAGAGUUUAGAACUUUGGAGUGAUAAUCCACAUCGGCCAUGGAAACACCAACAAUAAGGGGGCAUUAAGAGUUUAGAACUUUGGAGUGAUAAUCCACAUCGGCCAUGGAAACACCAACAAUCGAAUGACGGAAGGAUUUCGUAAUGGUCAGGUUUUUUACGGAGAGGAACACAAGAUUUCGGCUAUUAUUAGUGGCGACAGAAGGAUUGGGGCGCUGCCAUAUCCCCUGCGUGUCUUUCUUCCGAUUUACCACAGAUUAGAAAGAGAUCCGGCCAUCGAUAGCGGUAGAAGCAACAACGAGAUUUCCGUUGAGCCUCAGCAAACGAGCGGAAAAUUUCAAGAAAGCAAGUUCCAGUGUUGCCAUGGAUGAGAAUUCUGGUUGAUGUUACCGUUGGUGGUUUUAUUGUUAGAACAUUUAAUUUCACAUAAUUUUAAUGAUGUUUCAACUCAGAAAUAUGUGCAUACUUUGGAGCACAAUGUGAGAACCAUGUGAUGUUUGGUGCGUGUUGCUGGUGAUAGUAUAAUGAUGUUUAUGCCUUUCAUUUUGACAUCAAAUGAAAUUGAUGAGGUGGGUAUUUGCUGAAUUUUGCGUUAGAUUCUUUGAAACUAAAACCGAUUAUUUAAAUUUAAUUAUAUAUACUACAUUUACUGAUUUCACGAGGAGAUGCAACUAUGAGGUCAAUAUUCCAACAAAUAUGAGGACCUGAGGGCAUGCGUUGGCAACUACGGAUUUUAAAAGGUUCACUGACAUAGUACAAUGUCAGUCCAUUUCCUUUUAUGAUUCUGAAGAAAAUACUCAUAAUAUGGGAUGAGCAAAAGGAUUUGACAGCAAUCUAACAAUGCGAUGAGAUAAAUCGCAAGGGAACAGGGAGGGUUAAAGGCCAUAUUGAAGAGAGGAACUUUUUUAGUAGGUGGUCAUCGAAGUGUUUUUUUGAAGGUAAUGAGUAAAUGGUACGGUUUUUUUUCCCCCAAGUUUUGGAGUUAAAAUGGUUGUGAAUGAAGGUGGUGUUGUUUGGUAUACCCUGUUUCUGACUGAUUAUAGACUUGGUCAUAGAUAAGAAAACGUGUGAUAGUUUUAUGUAUUUGAAUUUUGAAGGGUAUCGGCUUUUGAAACACGUAACCUUUUCUUAGAUUAGUAUUGGCAUACCUGUGUAUUUUGCUUAAAGGAAAAAAAUGUGGUUUUUCAGUUCAUGAUUCCAUGUAACGUCUGCGGGUCGGUUACCUUCAAAUAAAUCUACUUUUGUUAAGUGUUA